AGUGAACGCUGGCGGCAGGCCUAACACAUGCAAGUCGAGCGGCAGCGCGGGGGCAACCCUGGCGGCGAGCGGCGGACGGGUGAGGAAUUCGUCGGAAUCUGCCUUUUUGUGGGGGAUAACGUAGGGAAACUUACGCUAAUACCGCAUACGUCCUACGGGAGAAAGUGGGGGACCGCAAGGCCUCACGCAGAAAGAUGAGCCGACGACCGAUUAGCUAGUUGGUGGGGUAAAGGCCCACCAAGGCGACGAUCGGUAGCUGGUCUGAGAGGAUGAUCAGCCACACUGGGACUGAGACACGGCCCAGACUCCUACGGGAGGCAGCAGUGGGGAAUAUUGGACAAUGGGCGCAAGCCUGAUCCAGCCAUGCCGCGUGUGUGAAGAGGGCCUUCGGGUUGUAAAGCACUUUUGUCCGGAAAGAAAACCAUGGAGCUAAUACCUUCGGGGGAUGACGGUACCGGAAGAAUAAGCACCGGCUAACUUCGUG
rnacentral:rRNA from 1 species